rnacentral:lncRNA from 1 species
CUAAGAGGGAAAUCUGGAAUGUGUCAAGUGACAAUGUUUUAAUAUGGAAGAUACCACUCUCGAUCUGGGCCAAGAGAAGAGAGCAGAGGUCGGUCAAAUAGCAGAAAAUUUCCAUAUUCAAACCUUUGACACUCUCCUUAUCAAUGAAGAGUUAAUAUUUAAAGAUUAUGGGCAAAAAUCAAAAAAGUGAUUUUCUUGAAAUCUUACUUUGUUCAUCUAUAAAAGGAAGUGGCUAAAUAAUGAAAUAGAAGAAUUCCAUGUGAACUGAAACAACCUCCAGGAAUUGAUACAGAGCAAAAGGAGUAGAACCAGGAGAACAUUGUACAUAAAGACGAAUACACUGUGGCACAAUUGAAUGCAAUGGACUUUUCUACUAGCAACAAAGCAAUGAUCCAGGACAGUUCUGAGGGACUUAGGAGAGAAUGCUAUCCACAUCCAGAGAAAGAACUAUGGUAGUAGAAACAGAAGAAAAACAACUAUCUGAUCACAGUUCAGAGGGGAUAUAAUUGGGGAUGUAGACUUUAAACAAUCACCCUAGUGCAUGAAUCAUGUAUCCAUUGAAAAAUAAUCUAAAUUAAAUAAAAAUUUCAAAUUAAAAAAAUAAAAGGAAGUG